UACGUAGGGUGCGAGCGUUAAUCGGAAUUACUGGGCGUAAAGCGUGCGCAGGCGGUGUUGUAAGCCAGACGUGAAAUCCCCGGGCUCAACCUGGGAAUGGCGUUUGGGACUGCAAGGCUGGAGUGUGGCAGAGGGGACUAGAAUUCCUGGUGUAGCAGUGAAAUGCGUAGAUAUCAGGAGGAAUACCGAUGGCGAAGGCAGGUCCCUGGGCUAACACUGACGCUCAUGCACGAAAGCGUGGGGAGCAAACAGG
rnacentral:rRNA from 1 species